AGUGAACGCUGGCGGUAGGCCUAACACAUGCAAGUCGAACGGCAGCACAGUAAGAGCUUGCUCUUACGGGUGGCGAGUGGCGGACGGGUGAGGAAUACAUCGGAAUCUACUUUUUCGUGGGGGAUAACGUAGGGAAACUUAUGCUAAUACCGCAUACGACCUACGGGUGAAAGUAGGGGAUCUUCGGACCUUGCGCGAUUGAAUGAGCCGAUGUCGGAUUAGCUAGUUGGCGGGGUAAAGGCCCACCAAGGCGACGAUCCGUAGCUGGUCUGAGAGGAUGAUCAGCCACACUGGAACUGAGACACGGUCCAGACUCCUACGGGAGGCAGCAGUGGGGAAUAUUGGACAAUGGGCGCAAGCCUGAUCCAGCCAUACCGCGUGGGUGAAGAAGGCCUUCGGGUUGUAAAGCCCUUUUGUUGGGAAAGAAAAGCAGCAGGUUAAUACCCCGCUGUUCUGACGGUACCCAAAGAAUAAGCACCGGCUAACUUCGUG
rnacentral:rRNA from 1 species